GGCAGCAUGGUGUAAUGGUUUGAGCUUUGGACUAUGACUCUGGAGACCAGGGUUCAAAUUCUGGUUUGGCCA